GAUCCUGUUAUCUCUUGUUUAGGUUCUUGAGAGGACGAAGGGAACAAAAGUAGCCUCGGUCCUCACUUGCCUUGUUUGUGGAGACGAAUCUAAGGUUGAAAAUGUUCCUUUGGAGGAAAUCCAAAAGUUGAGUCUUGAAGCUGAAAAACUUCUCUCUGAAAAUGGGAACUGGGAACUGGGAAUUCAGGGAGUCCGGGACUGCCAGAGUUUAUUUGAUAAGUAUCUCGUGGCUCCUAAUAUGGAACUAUACACAACACAGAUAUCAAUUUGGAGAGCUAUGUGGACUCUUGUGGGGAAUAAAAAGCUUGUCAAAAACUUUUAAUCAAAUAAAUGUCAUUCAAAAUGUUC